CCCGCGUUGCUGCCGUCCUGGUACACCGCCGUGGUCCCUUGGUCGCCGCCGUCGCUGAACCUGAGGCACCCCCUGGCCUUGCAGAAGCGCAUGAGGUAGUACACGGCCACCCCCGCGGCGGUGAACGCGGCGCUGAUGGCGUACACCUUCCAGCCGGCGAUGGCCAUGACGAAGACGAGGAACGCGGAGGGGACGAGGCAGAGCGCGACGGCGGCGGGCAGGCGCGCGGGGACGCGGUACGGGCGGGCCAUUGCGGGCCGCUUGACGCGGAGCCAGACGAAGGCGGCGAACUCGAGGAGCAUGCCCAGGCUGUAGAGGAAGUUGGCGGCCGCCACGAUGCUGUUGAAGCUGAGGAAGGACAUGCCGAGGAUGAUGGCGCUGGUGGCCAAGAUGCUGACCCAGGGCGUGCGGAAGACGGGGGCGCGCGCCGCGAAUGCGCGCGGGAGCAGGCCCAGGUCCGCCAUCCCCAGCAGCUGGAACGCCGCGCUGCUCAGCGUCGCCGAGUAGAGGCCGAUGGAGGACAGCACCGCG
rnacentral:misc_RNA from 1 species